rnacentral:rRNA from 1 species
CGGGUGAGUAACACGUGAGUAACCUGCCUUACACAAGGGGAUAGCCUCUGGAAACGGAGAAUAAUACCCUAUAAAGUCUAAUCAGCACAUGCUGUAAAGACCAAAGAUUUAUCGGUGUAAGAUGGACUUGCGUCUGAUUAGCUAGUUGGUGAGAUAAAAGCUCACCAAGGCGACGAUCAGUAGCCGGCUUGAGAGAGUGUACGGCCACAUUGGGACUGAGACACGGCCCAA